CCCGUGUAAUUUAUGUUGGCUAAUUGAAUGCUCCACUCAUUCAGUCUGAGGCCAAGAAUGAGAAGAUUAAUGAAACCUAGUAAUGCCAGAGAUGUCACAGCUGAUCUGAUCUCUUAUGUAACAUGAACAGGUAUUUGGCAACUGCAAAGGAUGAGUAGUGAUUUUAAACAUUGACUCUUCAUAUCUCAGAGGUCACCGAGUGGCCACGGAUAAGGAAGGAUAAACCCUGAUCGGUCACUUAGGAGAGAAACAUUGUAGAAUACCAGCUGUCUGAGAACUGCCAUGAGGAAGAGAAGUACUUAUCAUCCAAAAUACAAACUGCCUGUGCACCUUACCAGUUAUACAAUGCCUUGCCCCAUUUUGAAGAAUAAACCUGCUUUCUUGACUACUUGAACAUCAUCAACAGAAUGGAACCAAGCAGGCUCAGGAAACAUAAGAGUAAGAACUUACACUUUCUCUUUUGCAACACUAGGACAAUAACCUCAUCAUCAUGCUAUGGGGGCCCAAGAACCCCACCAAUUACCCAUAGCACAGACAGGACAUGGAUGAACUCCCAGCUCCCAGAAUAUUUUGA